rnacentral:lncRNA from 1 species
AGACCGGGUGGGACCGGACCGCGGUUUGAGUCCAAGCCCAGCGGUGUUUGCGGCGGGUCCGGGGCCUGGAAGCGCGGGGGCGGCGCCGAGAACGAAACUGGAAAAUGGCCUUCAUUGGAAAAGCCCCAGUCCUCGGGGAGCAGAUCCCCCAUCUCUGGCAGUGCAGUGCGCCUGGGAGCUGUCUGGAACAUUCCGCAACGGUCACUCCUCUGCCCUGCAUUGGCCUUGACCACAUGACCCAGAGGUGCAGGGAGAAGCCUCCCUUGGAUGCUUGGCGAGUGAGUUCAGCGGCUGAGAGUGUCUAAGGAGAGCCGGGAACACCGCACGCUUCCUGCAGAUGGCGGGGCAGACCUGUGUGCAAGAGUGCCUGAAGGGGAUCUCCUGUGGCGCUACCUGGUCACUUUCCAAAAAGGGAGUUUCCAGGCCAGAAGCCAUCCCUGCAGCAUUGUCUUUGUGCUCCAAGAGAAGCCCUGGCACACACUUCUGCUCAGAUGGAACCACUGUUCCCUCAGUGUCCUUGUCAGUACCAGCUGGUGACUUUCCUACUCAAACCCUUCCCUCACUCUCUGCCUCAUUUUCUCAAGGUGCCGUGUUUGCCUGAAAGGACAUUGGCAGCCAGCAGGGGCGGCGGCUGGUCCUCUAGAUGGGCACGAAUGCCAUUGGCAGGCAAUGGGGCAGACUCCAUGGAAAGAUGCUUCCCUUCCUCAAGGUAUGCACUCAGCGGGGAGACCUCAUUGUCAAGUUCAGAGUUACGCUGCAGACUGCACAGCACCUCGCCUGCUUCUAGGGCCUGCUCCGGUCAGCCCAGGACCCACCACAGCAGGACCCCCCAUCCUGUGCUCACCCGGGGCUUGUCCAUGGCACUGGAAACUCCUUCCUGUUCCUGAUCCCCCUCUGGGCGAGGGGUGGGCAGGGACAUGUGGCUCGUGCCGAGGUCUAAUACUGUGUUCCCAGCAUGGAAGCAGGUGGGGACACUUCCUGUGGCAUGCAGGAUUCCGUGUAGAAAACUGUGACUGUCACCCCUCCUCCCCACUCAGUUUUGUUAGUGGACCUUUCCCUGGCCCUUCUCUCCUUGGCCCCCUCUUGGCAGGAGAGAGGAGGAGAGGAUCUCACUUUCCCCCUGUACCAGCCACACCCUCGGUCUGCGGGGUUCCCAGCAGCUGGCCAGGGAUGCUCCACACCUGGAGAUCAAGUAACCGUCCCCUCACUCUGGGCAUCGGUGCCCUCUCUGGGGUUGGAACAGGAAAGAAAGCCAAGACCUGUAUGUGGGACUUGAGUUGAGACUCAAUUCUGUAGAGUCAGGGGUGAGGAGGAGCCAGGCCUCCUGUGUGCUCUCCCUACCCCAGAGCCGGGUGCCCAGUUCCAUGGGUCCUGAUGGACAGAAGGGAAGAACAGGGGGGCUGCUGCACCGUGGGUGGUAAUGCAGUGGGAGCCACCUCCAGCUGAAUGCCCAGGGACUCCUGGGGCUGCUGGCCCCGGGUCCCAGCAGUGGGUCCUGUUUCUUCUUUACUCUCGGAAUGCAGGAUCUGCCACACCAAAACGUCCCCUCCACAUUUGGUGAAAUAGGAAGCUCCAUGGCAUGCCUUCCAUCUUUCAAGGUGACUGAGAGGUUUAUUUUCAUAGGAGCCUCAGUGGCCUUGUCCGUACCCACCUCUGCACGUGGUUGCAGAAAGUGAAGGAUUGUCAGGGAGCAGGGCAGACAUUUGGUUUAUCUGUGUCAUUGGUCAAAGUUUUGUUUUUCCUCCAGAAGAAAAAGGCUUGUGAACAUGCCACCGUAUUCUUCAUUCCUUCUUUUGGAAAUGUACGAAGAACGGGUGGCAUUUUGGAGUUAUUGGCCUGUGAACAGCUGGCCCAGAGGAAGGGUUGGAUGUGGGUGGGUGUGGCCGCCUCUGCCCCUCCCCAGCGCAGGUGUGUGUGGGCAGCCCAGGCAGGCGCUCAGGAAGGGUGAGGUGGAGCCCUGCACGCUCUGAGCACAAAGUCCUGGGAUCCCUUAAACCCAAGCACUGCCUUGACAGCAGCCAGCAUGGCUGAUAGAAGAGACACAGAAGUCCAGCUGAUGCCAGACAGAGGGUGUCACUAGAGAGCCGUGCUAGGUGGGGGUCAUUCAAGUUGUCUUGGUGUAUGCAGACGUUGCUUCUAGAGAGUCAGAAGCUCUAUAUGCGUAGUGUUGGAGCAGAAUUUCGGGAUAGUGAUGGCAAGCCUCCUCCCAAGCCAGCUGGGGAGUAUGGGGAGGGGGUGGCCGGAGGAACCUGGCAUCCCCGGGUUAGGACCACAGAGGUGGCUCUGCCUGCAGCUGGGCCUCUGCCUCAUCCUGACUCCCCCUGCUUUGGUCAUGGCUCUUCUUGUCCUUCCUCUUCUCAGUGCAGGAGGACCCUGAAUCAAAUGCCUCAUCCUGGUUUGCAUUUUACCCUCGGAUGAAGCUUGUGGCGAACCCCAGGACUCUGUGUCUCCUGAGUCUCUGCAGACCUCGGGUCCUGGACCCAGAGACUCUUCUCCCUGGGACAGGAGGCACUGGGAUGGGUGGACAGGGGUGGCCUGGGGCACAGUAGCUGACGGGGGGACUUCCUAGCCUUCUGGGCCUUUCCAACUCUGAGUGUGACCUUCCUAUUCUUGAUCACAGCCCCCAACUUCAGAGCCUGCUAGAGCCUGCAGAAUGCGGCUUCAUCCUCUUCCUCUGUGAGAAAAGGCGGGGCCUGGCAGUCCCGCCAAUCUUGUAUAUUUGCUCCCCACCUCGGUGGUGAAUACAUUCUUGGGUGGUGAAUAGGUUCUCUCCUUGCCUUCACUCUAGAAAAGUCCCCUGUUUUGUGAUGUAGGAUGUGGUCAAUGACUGACUCGUCCCUUUGGACCAUAGACGCAGCUCUGAUUUCUGGUGUUCCUGGGCUCUGCACACAGCAGGAACCACUCUGGGCUUUCAGGGAUGCAUCUUCUUGCUCACUUUUUCUUGUUGGCUCUUCUCCCUGCGUCUUCUGCCACUGCCCUGUUCUGGGUGGGAGGCUGUCACGCUGUGGUGGGGGGUCCCCUCUCCUGCCUCCCCUCUUUGAUCCUUUUCUGUGAGGGUCUGCUGGGGUCCUGUGUGUCGUGCAUUGUUGAUAGAUUCCUGUCGUGCUUGCUGUCCUCCCCAUUCUAAGGGACCUCUGAAUGCCUGUGAGCAGUUUACAGGGGCCUCUCCUGGCCCCUUCACCCGAGGAAUUCCCGCAACGCGUGAGUUUGUGAGGGGCGGAUCCUGGGAGGAUGUGACGUCAGGUGAGAAGGGAGGGCCCGUCCUAGUCCGGUGGGCUCCUCUAACAAAGUGCAUUAGCCUGGGGAGUUACUGACGCCCGAAAUAUGUCGUCAAAGUUCUGAAGGCUGAGAAGUCCAAGAUCAAGAUGCCUGAGGAUUCAGUGCCUGGUGAGGACCCAUUCCUUAGGGCAGUGCCUCUAGCUGUGUCCUCAUGUGGCCGAAGGGGACAAGGGAGGUUGCUGGAGCCUGUUUGAUGAGAGCACUACCUUCCUUCAGGAGGGGAUUAUUCAGAAAGUCUGUCUGGUUUCAGGGCAUUCCCAAAGGCCCCACCUGUUCAUUCUACCCCAUUGGGAAUUAGGCUUCAACAUACAAAUUUGGGAGACACUGACAUUUAGGCCAUAGCACGUCAAAGGCAAAGUGAGGCUGAGUGUGGAAACCAUCCAAGAAUCUGGAUGUGGCCCAGGCAGAAGGAAACUCAAAGUGAUGGGGUGACCGAUGGUCCCUGGUCUGUGCAGGACUCAGCGGUGCGGAUGGCCCUGGGCACGGUGGCAGUGGCUGUUGGAGGAUGAUAGGGAACAUGUUGGUGGGGGGAGGGUGGAGCCCACUAUGAGUGGCAACUCCCUGGGGGCACAGGAAGCAAAGCUAGAGGUGGCUCCCCUCUCCCCUCCCUGCACACAGUGUCACCUCUGUGGUGGCCCUGUCAUCCGCCUCAGUUCACAGGUGUUGCUGUAACAACUCCUGAAAUUACCUCCAAAAGGAGGCUCGUGCAGGUGCCUGCAGGAGCCAGGAGGCCGAAGUGCAUCCUGAGUGUCCGGGGACAGGCCAGCCUGGUGGGGUCCACAGCCCCACAGUCCCAACGACUGCCUCAGAAAUGGGCAGAGAGCAUGCCUGGUUCUAGCUGGCAAGGCCCACAUCUCAGAGCUGUGGACAGUCAUGAAGGGUCCGUGAGCAUGGAGAGGGGGCAAAAAUGACCCAUGAACCUCAGGCCACUGUGCUGCCAUCCAGCCAAGUGCGGUACCAGCCCUUCGGGCCUCGAGAUCCUCUACCCUUCUCUGGGCCUUGCUGAUUUCCUCCUCCAGCCCCUCUGUUUGUGUACGCACAUACACACAGGCACGCACGCACACGCACACCCAGUGCAAUUUCUCUCUGCUCCCUGUACUCCCCAGAAUUCAAUGGGUUCCUCUUUCCUCCUCAGAGAUAUAGUCCUGGGCCCCAUCUCAGCCUGCAGAGGCCUAAACGUUUCCCAGGAUUGUCUUCUAAUUCUCAGGUCCUGCUUUAAAACAAAACCUAAACUAAACCUAAAAUGCUUUCUGAAAAGAAUAAUACACCAACAUAAAGUCCGGGUAUCCUAAGCAUGUGGUGUGUAUGGUGUCUGAAAUUGAAUAUGCUGUGAAACUGCCUGUGUCGAAACACAGUGUUUCCCAAGACCUGGAGGCUCUCUCUCUCCAGUUGCUGAUUGUGAUCACCUCUCCCGAUCACCGCUGAGCCCUGCAGGUCACCUUCUCCUGACCUAUUACACCACUGAUUGCUUAUGCUGGGCACAAUUUUAUACCCUUGCUGUUGUUCAGUCUAAUCAUCCCUAUAACCCUAUCGGAUCAUUCCCAUAUGACAGAGGAGAAAACUUGGGGACACAGGGGCUGUGUCCUGGCCAAGGCCUUGCUUGCAGCAAAAGGCAGAGCUGGGAUCUAGCCAGGAGCCCCUGCACAGUCCUGUUCUUCCCCCACUAAACUGAGCUGUGAAAUAGAUCAUGGCGGUCUGGAAAACGAGCUAACUCCGUGCCGAUGGAGGUGUUGAUGGAUGUCCACCACUCUCCACUUGGGAGGAAGCCUUAACAUUCCCCGCAGGUCUAGCUUCUCUCUGUGGCUGAGUACCUUGGGAAAGCGGGCUCAGAGGAGGAAAGGGACUUACUUGCCCAAGGGCCACAGCUGCCAAGUGGCAGGUAAGGGACCGUUAUUCUCCUGUCCCUUUCACAGAGGACAGGAGGAAAGUGAGGACAGGUGGUGUACAUGCAUCUUUUCCGCAGCAGGCCCAGAUCAGCUCUGCACACGGUGCUGACCUCAAAUUCAGCCCUAGAGGGGCCUGUCUCUGCCCUGAGUGAGUAUUGAGGUGCAGGCUUCUUCCCCUUUGUUCUGUCCAUUUCCAAAAAUGUGAACACACACCUCCAACAUGUUUCUGUGUAUAUUAUUGUGUGCAUAGAUACUACCAUUGUAAAAUAUUAUGCAGAUUAAUAAUGCACUAUGCCAUUGAAAAUUUCAAAAGAAAUGUGUAAUAAACAUUUAAAAUUAA